AUGGCUUUCUCCGCGCGGAGGAGCCUCGCCACCAGCCUCUCCAGCCACCUCACCCGCCGCCUCCACCCCUCCCUCUCCCACCUCGUCCCCUCCUCCCACCGCGACGACAACCACGAGGACGCCUCCUCCUCCUCCUCCGCCCCCCUGUUCCCCACCCAGCAAGCCCCCCUGCACUUCCCCUCCGGCGACCUCCGUCGGCGCGCGAGAUCCCNNGGCCUGGCCCUCCCCCUCCCCUUCGGCGCCCACCUCGCGGCCCGCCGCAGCUUCUCCACCUCCUCCCCCGGACCGCAGAUCGAUGGGAUCCUCACCGACCCCGCGGCUGGCCAGAUGGAUGUCGCGGCGGGCGUCCUCUCCGACGCCGCGGCCUCGGUCGCGCCCGCCUUCCCGCUGCCCUUCCCGGGGGAAGUGGCCGCCGCCGCCGCAGACUCGUUUCCCCCCGUCGCGGCACUGCAGUACGCCAUCGACGCCGUCCAUUCGUUCACCGGGCUCAACUGGUGGGCUUCUAUUGCGGUGACGACCAUCUUGAUCCGAACGGUGACGAUCCCGCUGCUUGUGAACCAGUUGAAGUCUACGAUGAAGUUGAAUGCAAUGAGGCCAGAAAUUGAGGCAAUCAACAUGGAGAUGCGAAAUUCAAUGGAUCCACAAUCAAUGUUAGAGGGGAAGAAGAAAUUGGGCGAGCUAUUCACGAAGCAUGGUGUUAAUCCAUUGACACCCUUGAAGGGUAUAUUCAUCCAAGGGCCUAUAUUCAUGAGCUUUUUCUUUGCUAUACAAAACAUGGUGGAGAAAGUCCCUUCUUUGAAAGGAGGUGGAGCAUAUUGGUUUACUGAUUUGACAACUCCUGACGAACUUUAUAUCCUCCCAGUAUUGACAUCGGUGACAUUCUUGGCUACGGUGGAGCUCAACAUGCAAGAAGGCAUGGAGGGAAAUCCUAUGCUGCAAACAAUGAAGAAGUUCUCUAGAAUAUUGGCUCUUAUGACUAUACCAUUUACAAUGCACUUUCCCAAGGCAAUUUUCUGUUACUGGGUAACGGCAAACUUGUUCUCUCUUGGGUAUGGUUUUGCUCUCCGGAAGACAGCCGUAAGGUAUUUCUUGAAUCUUCCGGAGGUUAUACCACAGCCCGAACCUGCGCAAAUGUCGACCUUCAACCUUUUCGAGACACCAAAGCCAGUGUCAGCAGUUGAUACACCCACUGGGAACAACAGUGAUUCACCCAUUGGAGACAACGGUGAUUCACCCACCGCAGCCAACGGGUCAGAGCAGUCUAAUGCUGAGCUAAGCGAUCGGGUUGUGUUUCUUGAGAAGAAGAUUGCAGAACUUGAGAGGCGGGCUAAAGCUAGAGGCGAAUCUCAAGAGUAA
rnacentral:rRNA from 1 species